UACUUUUUCUUUUGAUUUUUCAUUAAUUCUCGUUUCGAGACUUCAACUAAUUGAUGCGUUCUUUCAAAAUAAAAAUAAAAAAAACUAAUUGAUGCGUUAAUGGUGGACAUUCUUAAGUUUUAAUCACUUUUAGCUCGCUAGUCUAUAUGGCACAUUUUUCCUGAGUUUUACCCUUGCCCAUUUUUUUUUAUUCUUUUGUCAAGUGGGUAAUCUUGUUAGACUUUCUUGAUUUCGAUCGGUGUUUGUUCUCUGUUGUUUUUUCGUGUUUUUAUUGAGUUUCAUUGUAUCCGUUUGAUUUGUGAACUAAACGAUGUCAUUUUGACGGACUCACCAGGUUUGAAUUAGUUUUAGACCUCAAUUAUCAAAUGCUUUUUCUUUUUCUUUUUCUUUUUUCUUUUCUUCGGUUAUACCCGAACUGAUACUUGAGGCAAAUGAUAUAAUUUUGAUGGAUCUAGUUGGGAGUUUUGUUCGUACCCUUUUAUUAGAUUGGGAUCUUGUCUGCAAUUAUUAUCUCUGUUAUGGGGUUUUUGAGAUCAGAUUAUUAUUCUCAUUGAGAUUUUUAAGCAUAAUCUUCUCGAGUUGAGAGAGCUAUACGUAUCAUUUAGAUUGGGCGAACUAGUGUCUGGGCCAAUGCCAUUUGAUCCCGGUAUAAGCCCUCCAUUUGAUGCAUUUUCUUUUCGAGUUUCACCCAUGGCCAUUUGAUCUCUGGGUAAUUGGGGACUUGAUGAGAACUAGUGGAGCUCUCAAUUCGAUGCAUUUUUGUUUUCGAGUUUCGUCCACGGCCAUUUGAUUCUCUGGGUGAUAAUAGUUGUAAUAAUAGUUGUGUCCUUGAUGAGAAUUAUUGGAUCAUAACUUGAUUCAGGUUACAAGUUGAUACAAAGAAUUGUCCUUUGCAGCCAAGUGGUAUCUCCGUCGACCGUUUAGAAGGUACAUCUAAAGCUUCUCCCGAGGUUUGAUUUCAAGUGCCUUCCGUUGAUAAAAAUGGAGGGGCCCUGGAGAAAAGCAGAUGAUUGUUUGCUUUGGGGGAUGUUGAUUUAUUUUGUGCACUGUUGGUGGAGUUUCGCUAGCAGAAGCACCUGCUUUUAUAAGAAGUCUGCUGGUGGAGCGCCUGCUAAAAUUGCUGUUGGGAUAGCAAGACGAGGAGGCUCAGCAGCUUUCAUUGGCAAGGUGCUUUUCUAACUUUCCAGGGGCAUCUUUCUGAGCCUACUGUCUCGUUACAAAAAUUCUAUAUAUGUACAGUCACUUUUACGUACUCUUUUGUGCACUUUACUAAUGUGAUUGAUUGUGUUAAAAAAAAUUAAUGCAGCCAAUCACAUUAGUGGAGUGUGCAGAAAGUAUUCAAAAGUGACUGUAUAUAGCAUUACUCAUCUCGUUAAUAGCUUUAUGUUAAUCAUACCAAGAUCUUGUCGCAUGGGCUAUUUCAUUUUUCCCCUAAUCGUUAUGAGAGACAGCAGGUGUUAAAUAUUUCCUUUUGGUAGUGGGGGAAAAUGCAUUAUAUUGAUUUAUAUUGGAUGAAUUCACAUGAUUUUUUCAAUUUAUUCAUUUUAUAAAUAUCACGUCUCCAUUCAUUACAUAUAUAUAUACUCGUGCACUCAAUUUUGAGGUCCAUGGUUCAAAUGUUUGAUGAAUGCCUAACCGUGCUGAAUUUAUGUCUUCAAUACAAACAAGUAUAUAUAUCUGCUAACCUAUGUUGGCACCCACUGCACACCCUGUUUUCCCCUCAUCCAUGCCUAAUAUUAUAUUGAUGUAUUAUAUAGCUCUGUACUCGUCAUCAUGAAAAUGAGUUUGCCGGCCGGGGUGGCAAAUAGAAUUGAAAGGAUUUUUCAGAAUUUCUUAUGAGAAGGUAAAUUGGGGAAGAAAGAAAGUUUCACUUAGUAAGUUGGAAUAAGGUUGGUCAACUGAUUUCUUGUAUAAAUAGAGGUGCUUUCCUCCUUUAAAAUUAAAUUAAAAAAAUAAAAAUAAAAUAAAAUAAAAUAAUGAUUUCUUGUGGAGGUUUGGGAGUGCAAAAUUUGAGGCUUUUUAAUAAAGCUAUUCUUGGGAAAAAGUUUUGGAGAUAUCAUAUUGAGAGAGAUGCAUUAUGGAAAAAUGUUGUUGACGUUAAAUAUGGGAGGAUGUGGGGGAGUUGGUGUUCUAAUGAAGUAAGAGGAGUUUAUGGGGUGGGUUUGUGGAAGUCCAUUCAGAUGGGUUGGGGAGUUCGUCAAUCAUGUAAAAUUCAAGGUGGGGGACGGGGCAAUGAUUCAUUUUUGGCAUGAUAUUUGGUAUGGAGAUUCACCUCUCAAACCCUUUCCUUUUUGGGAUUGCUAGGGAUUAAGAUGCUGCAGUGGCUGAUUCCUUGUCUUUUGUGAAUAAUAAUCUUCAAUGGAGUGUUGAUUUUGUCAGAAAUGUUCAUGACAGCUGGGAAGUAAAAGUAGUCUAUGAUUUUUUUUGGCAGAUUAUGUGAUUUGAAGAUUGUUCAGGGAAGGGAGGAUGGUUUGCUGUGGAUUCAUGUAGGAAAUUCCAGAUUUUCAGUUAGUUCCUUUUAUAAGAUACUAACCUGUCAUUAUGUCUAUGAUUACCCUAGAAAUGCAUUUGGAGAGUUAUUUUCAGUUUUUUCUUUAGUCAUUUUCAGUUUCUAGGGUGUAAGUAGGUUUUUCCUUUUGUAUACUUUCUGUGUACUUGUGUUAUGCCUACUCUUGGUAAUAAAAUAUCUUAUUAAUUAUCAAAACAAAAAUAUGAGUUUGGUUACACGUUGGCUGACAUUCUUAAACGUAAUCAUGUUGAUAAUUCUGGCGUGUGUUUUGAGUCUUGACCUGCGUGUAAGGAUUGCAUUAGCAUUUGUUACGCUGAGAAGUAAUGACGAGUGUGAAUUCAUGUUUUAUCGCAAUCCAAGUGUCGAUGCUUCUUCAAGAAAUUGAAAUCAAUGCAAACUUAAUUAAGAAGGUCUAACACUAACAUUCUAGUUAUAAAAAGUAUGUGAAAUGGAAAUGAAUCCCAUUGUUGUCACACCUCUUGGUUGUUGAAUUCAACUGAUUGUGAUUGCUAUAUGGCGUACUGACAUCAAUGAAUUGGGAAGCUAGGUGUUUGAUUCACCUCAAACUAUCAAUUAAGAACAGGUAUAGUUGAUUUCAUGAGCUAUAUUUUCUUGUUUCAACUUAUAAAAGUAUGUCUGGAUGAAAAAAUUUAAAUUGAGGAAUGAAAAAAGUGCGGCUUUCAUGGAAUAGUUUGUGUUCAACUUGAAAAAAUUACCUGUUUGCUAAUUUUCAAAAGCAAGUUCAAGUUGCUUAUUCCAAGUAACGUCAAAUGGAUGGGCCGAGGAAGAAUUUCGGAUGGAAAAUGUCUCUGACUACCUGGCCGGCAAGCAUUUUUCAUUAUGGAUCAAGUAGUUUGGUUGAGAAGCGUUGGAGGAGGUAUGCUCAUCUUGCUGCCAUGGACGUUGCCAAGAAUUCUGGUUGUGUUCUACCUUAGGACCCGAGGCUGCCUCUCUAGCUAUCUGCAGAGGCUGCUCAAAAAGGGAUUGUGGGCAUAUGGAACCAAUCUGACAUUACUAGGGUAUGCUUUUGUAGGCGGAAUCCUGAACAUUUUGGCUUCACUUCAGAGCCAAAUCUGUAUAAAGUACCAUUCAAUAUUUCUUUCACUUUUGAACAGGAAAAAUGUUUUAGUCACAAAAUACUCUCACAAAAAUAAAUUUAUAAACUAAUAUGGGUUGA